AUUGAACGCUGGCGGCAGGCCUAACACAUGCAAGUCGAACGAGUGGCGGACGGGUGAGUAAUGUCUGGGAAAAUGCCCGAUGGAGGGGGAUAACUACUGGAAAAGGUAGCUAAUACCGCAUACCAUCUGAUGUGCCCAGAUGGGAUUAGCUUGUGGGUGGGGUAACGGCUCACCUAGGCGACGAUCCCUAGCUGGUCGGAGAGGAUGACCAGCCACACGGGAACUGAGACACGGUCCAGAUUCCUAGGGAGGGAAGCAGGGGGGAAUAUUGGACAAUGGGCGCAAGCCGGAUGCAGCCAGGCGGCUGGGAUGAAGAAGGCCUUCGGGUUGUAAAGUACUUUCAGCGGGGAGGCGUUACCCGCAGAAGAAGCACCGGCUAACUCCGUGCCAGCAGCCGCGGUAAUAC
rnacentral:rRNA from 1 species